GUAUAAUCAUGACCGUAGAGUUACAAAUGAUGUGAUAAAAGUCAUCAUUGGCCCGUAGUGCAUUGAUGGACAGUUGUUGACAUGAUCAUGACCAUUGAUGAAUACACAAAUAUCCUUGGCCCGUAGUGCAUGGAAUUUGUGGUCGUAACCCUAAUGAAUAUCCUUGGUCGUAGUGCAGGGAUGAUGUGGAUUAUUUAUUAAGCUGAGUCCCAGCGAU
rnacentral:lncRNA from 1 species